CGUCUGUCUCGACAACGUCUCACUCAAAUAGAGACCACCAAUCGUCGAAGAAGACGGGACAAGAAACACCGCGUAGUUUUUGAAACUAUAAUAGUAUGACUUUUUCAUACCGCGGGCACAUUACUGUCC
rnacentral:ribozyme from 1 species